UACGUAGGUGGCAAGCGUUGUCCGGAAUUAUUGGGCGUAAAGCGCGCGCAGGCGGCCUCUUAAGUCUGAUGUGAAAGCCCCCGGCUCAACCGGGGAGGGCCAUUGGAAACUGGGAGGCUUGAGUAUAGGAGAGAAGGAGUGGAAUUCCACGUGUAGCGGUGAAAUGCGUAGAGAUGUGGAGGAACACCAGUGGCGAAGGCGACUCUUUGGCCUAUAACUGACGCUGAGGCGCGAA
rnacentral:rRNA from 1 species